UCAAAGAGAAGCAGUUGUUUUGGCAUUGAAUUUGAUAUGUUCUGAUGAAUAGAAAAUCAGUCACGUCAAAGACUCCGUCGUCGGUGUUCUUCUCCGAAGAUCUCAUCAUCGAGAUCAUUUCACUACUACCCGUUAAACCUCUUCUUCGAUUCCAAUGUGUAAGUAAUUCUUGGAAUACCCUCGUUUCCAAUCCUAUUUUUGUGAAAUUUCAUCUCAAAAGAUCAAAAACAUCACCAAAUCCACAAUUCACAUUAAUCAUUAAUCACCUCAAACUUGUAGAUUAUAGCUACAAAAGUGAUUGGAGUAUGGUUCCAUACCCUAUAAGUCGUUUACUCGAUAACCCGUCGACUAUCUUUGUCGUUGAUUCCUAUUACGGAUUAGACAAUAAAGAAUCCUCUAUUGCUGGUUCUUGCAAUGGAUUAAUCUGUCUGGUUGGUUAUAAUUUCACUGAUCCAACUACUGAAUAUCAAGAGUAUUGGUUCAGAUUAUGGAACCCAGCUACUAGAAAAAUAUCCCAAAAAUUGGGGUAUUUUCGUGAUUUACAUGGUUUCGUCUUUAAUUUUGGUUGGGAUGAUUCUAGAGGCUCGUUUAAAUUGGUGGCGUCAAGCUUCAUUCGUGAUGGACGUACAAGCGAGGUGAGAGUUUUCACUGUUGGUGAUAAUAUUUGGGGAAAGAUUGAAAGUUUCCCGGUUCUUCCUCUUGGUUUGGAGUGGCGUGGACGACGUAUAGGUGAUAAGUAUGAUCGUUGUCUGUCUUUAAAUAGUACUAUUAACUGGUUGGCUAUUCACAAGGACCUACGGUUCAAUUGGAAUUAUUAUGUAAAGGACAUGACUGUUGAGGACCUUGUUAUUGUUUCGCUCGAUUUGGGGACUGAGACAUAUAAUUGUUAUCGAUUGCCUGAUGAGCCAACUUUUGGUGUUUUGGAGGAAUGUAUUUGUUUGUGUUGUUCUUAUGAGGUAGCUGAUAUUGUUAUAUGGCAGAUGAAGAAAUUUGGGAUUGAAGAGUCUUGGAUUCAAUUUCUUAAAAUUAGUUAUAACAUUCUUCAAUUAGACUAUUAUUGUCCAUUCUUGCCAUUGUUUCUUUCUAAGGAUGGUGAUACAUUGCUAUUGUGCAGUUUGAAUAAUAGGGAAUCAAUUCUUUAUAAUUUGAGAGAUAAUAGUAUACAACCAAUAGAAGUUAAAGUGCACAAAACUGGUAUUGAUGAUGAAACUCUCAACUUUGUUAGUUUGAAAUUGGCCCUGGAUUAUGUUGAAAGUUUAAUUUCAAUUUGUUGAAAGUAAGUUCAUGAGCCGUGGUUUACUUGUUUUUAUAUUAUUAUAACCAAAGCUUUCUUGGUUGCUGGCGGAAGAAAUUGUCAAGAAUCACUUUAGAUGCUUCAUUCAGGGACUGAAAAGAAAAGAAUAGGAAGUUGAAGAUAUUACACAUGAUGGAAGGUGACAGGAAAAUGACAUAUAAUAGGAAGCGACUAUGUAAUACAGAAUCAAGGUCAAUUGUUCUGUGUUUGAUUACAUGCUGGAACAAUGUGAAUAUAUGUAUUUGCUUUUUUUAAUUACAAUGAAACUAAUGUGAAUUCAUAAAAAGAAUCACAUUUUGUAUCUCCCCGACUACAAUAAAUGCUUCAAACCCUUC